GCCCUCCAAACAACUUCUCCCUUGAACAAAUGGUGCUUUCAACUUAGUUUUGUCUGCUCGUACAUGUGAGGGCCGCAGGCCAGGAUAAUGAAAACCUGCAGGUGUACUGUGGUCAGCGAGACCAAUAGAUUUACCUACACUGCCUCCUGCAGAGUCCUGGCUGGAUGUGGCUUUGCCACACUUUCAUUGCUGAGUCACCGUGGUCAGAGUUUCCCCAUGUUCUCAUCAGGGUGUGUCUGAGCCGGGCCUGGGCUAAAGCUCCCAGGCAGCAAGGACCAACCAGUGCCAGCAACACGGGCAUGGAAGAGAAUUGAGAACCUGCUCAGACUCAUGUGCACCAGGCUGAUGGGCUGGGUACAGUGAGUGCACACCACCUACUAUUUACAACUUAAAAUAAUCUAUUUCCU